rnacentral:rRNA from 1 species
GACGAACGCUGGCGGCGUGCUUAACACAUGCAAGUCGAGCGAGAGAAAUUCCUUCGGGAAGGACCCUAGCGGCGGUCGGGUGAGUAACACGUGGGUAACCUGCCUCAUAGAGGGGAAUAGCCUUUCGAAAGGAAGAUUAAUACCGCAUAAGAUUGUAGUAUCGCAUGAUACAGCAAUUAAAGGAGUAAUCCGCUAUGAGAUGGACCCGCGUCGCAUUAGCUAGUUGGUGAGGUAACGGCUCACCAAGGCGACGAUGCGUAGCCGACCUGAGAGGGUGAUCGGCCACAUUGGGACUGAGACACGGCCCAGACUCCUACGGGAGGCAGCAGUGGGGAAUAUUGCACAAUGGGGGAAACCCUGAUGCAGCAACGCCGCGUGAGUGAUGACGGUCUUCGGAUUGUAAAACUCUGUCUUCAGGGACGAUAAUGACGGUACCUGAGGAGGAAGCCACGGCUAACUACGUGCCAGCCGCCGCGGUAA